GUAGGUGGCAAGCGUUGUCCGGAAUUAUUGGGCGUAAAGCGCGCGCAGGUGGUUCUUUAAGUCUGAUGUGAAAGCCCCCGGCUCAACCGGGGAGGGUCAUUGGAAACUGGGGAACUUGAGUGCAGGAGAGGAAAGUGGAAUUCCACGUGUAGAGGUGAAAUGCGUAGAUAUGUGGAGGAACACCAGUGGCGAAGGCGACUUUCUGGCCUGUAACUGACACUGAGGCGCGAAAGCGUGGGGAGCAAACAGGGAUUAGAUACCCUGGUAGUCCACGCCGUAAACGAUGAGUGCUAAGUGUUGGGGGGGUUUCCGCCCCCUCAGUGCUGCAGCUAACGCAUUAAGCACUCCGCCUGGGAGUACGGUCGCAAGACUG
rnacentral:rRNA from 1 species